rnacentral:rRNA from 1 species
GCGAACGCUGGCGGCAGGCCUCACACAUGCAAGUCGAACGAACCUUUCGGGGUUAGUGGCGGACGGGUGAGUAACACGUGGGAACGUGCCUUUAGGUUCGGAAUAACUCAGGGAAACUUGUGCUAAUACCGAAUGUGCCCUUCGGGGGAAAGAUCUAUCGCCUUUAGAGCGGCCCGCGUCUGAUUAGCUAGUUGGUUGAGGUAAUGGCUCACCAAGGCGACGAUCAGUAGCUGGUCUGAGAGGAUGAUCAGCCACAUUGGGACUGAGACACGGCCCAAACUCCUACGGGAGGCAGCAGUGGGGAAUCUUGCGCAAUGGGCGAAAGCCUGACGCAGCCAUGCCGCGUGAAUGAUGAAGGUCUUAGGAUUGUAAAAUUCUUUCACCGGGGACGAUAAUGACGGUACCCGGAGAAGAAGCCCCGGCUAACUUCGUG